AGCCUGAGGAUUGCUUACAGAAAUGUACCUGGGGCUUUCCAUCACUGUACACAGAAAUUGCACUUGCAAUUGUGUCAACAUCUGUCUCCAAAGGAGCUGAGAGGCUGAGGAUGAAAUGCUUGCUUUGUUUACCUGCAUCUCACCUAAGCUAAAAGUACAUUGAAGUGCCCAGUGCUGCUGCAUUUGCACAUCAGCCAAGGAACUACGUGAUGGUCAAUGUAAACUGCUCUGACAGCCACAGAUUUUCUUCUUGCCUGUCAAUAGCUACACUGAAAGCUGCAGGACUAAACUGUAGAGAA